AUUGAACGCUGGCGGCAGGCUUAACACAUGCAAGUCGAGCUGAGUGAUGGUGCUUGCACUAUCACUUAGCGGCGGACGGGUGAGUAAUGCUUAGGAAUCUGCCUAUUAGUGGGGGACAACAUCUCGAAAGGGAUGCUAAUACCGCAUACGUCCUACGGGAGAAAGCAGGGGAUCACUUGUGACCUUGCGCUAAUAGAUGAGCCUAAGUCGGAUUAGUUAGUUGGUGGGGUAAAGGCCUACCAAGGCGACGAUCUGUAGCGGGUCUGGGAGGAGGAUCCGCCACACUGGGACUGAGACACGGCCCAGACUCCUACGGGAGGCAGCAGUGGGGAAUAUUGGACAAUGGGGGGAACCCUGAUCCAGCCAUGCCGCGUGUGUGAAGAAGGCCUUAUGGUUGUAAAGCACUUUAAGCGAGGAGGAGGCUCUUUUGGUAAUACCCAAGAUGAGUGGACGUUACUCGCAGAAUAAGCACCGGCUAACUCUGUGCCAGCAGCCGCAGUAAAAC
rnacentral:rRNA from 1 species